CUACGGGUUGCACCAGUCGAGAAUAAUGGACAAUGGGGGAAACCCUGAUCCUGCGACGUCGCGUGCUUGAAGAAGCCCCUCGGGGUGUAAAGAGCUUUUAUUAGGGGACAAUAAUAGAGCGUACCUAAUGAAUAAGGGGGUGCAAAUCACGUGCCAGCAGCAGCGGUAAUACGUGACCCCCAAGCGUGUAUCCGGAUUUAUUGGGCGGAAAGAGUCUGUAGGUGGCAAUGUAAGUCUUUGGUUAAAUCCUCAGGGCCCAAACUUGAGAAUGCCAGGGAAACUACAUAGCUAGAGGAUGUUAGGGGCUGAUGGAACGGUAGGUGUAGGGGUAAAAUCCGUUGAUAUCUACCGGAACACCGAAAGCGAAGGCAGUCAGCUGGGGCAUUCCUGACACUGAGAGACGAAAGCGUGGGGAGCAAAAAGGAUUAGAUACCCGCGUAGUC
rnacentral:rRNA from 1 species